rnacentral:sRNA from 2 species
AUGUACCACUCGUACACUCCGGUUCUGAGCGCGCCGUCCGCACCCACCUGACGACCGCUCUCUACCUUUUGUUCGCC